GCAGGUUUGGUGUGUGCAGGUUUUCUGAUGAUGUAUCCAGUCAUUGAGAAAGCCAUCAAACACACUUUGUGUUGCUCUGUAGAGUGCUGGGAGCAGUUCCGAGCACAGCAGGAAAAUAAUGAAGACCUGUCAGAAAGCUGCAUUCUUGGGCAGUGUUUCCAGUGGGCAGCGUCACCUGACUGGGAGCUGUGACGUGCGUGGUCCAGAGGUGACGCAGAAUGUGUUUGCUGGGACAGGAGCCUUCAGGGUAGUCUGCUCAGGGCUCAGUGCUGAUGUCACCACUGGGGAGAGAAUGGGGCAAGGACAAGUUCAGCAGUCACCAGAUAAGGAAGACCACUCUUUUUCCAUCAGUUUGAAGAGAUUUGGCAGAGUUUUAAGUAACACCAUAAUUUUCCUGAAGAUGGAUUUGCUUGUACAACUUGCCAGCUAGAGCUUGUGCUGUCCACAAAAGUUCCUCCCUUUUAGACACAUUUGCAACACUUCCCAGACCAGUUUGUUCAUUCACCUUACAGCUUGAAACCCUUGUUUCAGGGCAGGCUUGUUUCUUCUACUGUAUUUUUACUGCCCCUUGAGUG
ensembl:lncRNA